UCUAAACGUUAAUACAUAUUCUUUGACAAGUAAUAGUUGUAGAGCAAGAGUGUAUAUCGCUUUUUGAACGUUGCCGUGAAAUUGCGUUCUCUCGGAAUAUUAUAAAAUAUGAUUUAUUGCAACCAGGCCUUUGUUCAAGUUUUAUUUAAUGUUUUUAACUGCAUACUAUUGUUGACAAUGAAUCUUGAUUCUUUGUCCAUAUAAGAACUUAGGAAAUGUGAUGGAUAAAUCCAUACCUUGGGUAGAGACGUUGUGAACUUGGACCCACUGAUCGUGGUUGGUAAGAAAGAAAACAAAAUAUCAUGGGGCCGUUCGCUAACAACUGAACAAAUGAAAGGCUCAUCGUCCAAAAAACUGUACACAGUUAUAAGAAAGGUGCUUCCUUGCUGACCACGACGUUCAGACAUGAUCUGCCGAUUCAAUAAAGAUAUUUAGAUAACAGGGGUCAAACAGGCUUUAUCUUACCCCCUUGGGUAGAAUGCCUGGUGAACCCCGAGGGCCGUGUGAAGGGAUGAGGUAUUUUAGUGGGUGGGGUCUCACUAUCCCUCUUAAUAGCAGAGGGAUUUGAGUGUAGACCCAGCCGCACAGUCCCCGCGUUAAGCUUGACACCAUGCGUAAGCGCAUUUUCACCUCAUUUAAAUUUAAAAAAUAAUUAGUGAUACCCAAUUCAGAAAAUACUUCUGGCAAUGUAUCUAUGGAUACAGUAUUUUCUUAAAGAACCCUAAGUUGAUUUUGAUGUUGAAGUCCUUUAUCCCGAGGGAGAGUAAUAAAUGGUCGUCUAUGGGUACUUUUAAGUUGUUCCUUCUCUAGUGCCUCCUGGAUUUGACCAUGCUUUAUAAAAUCGUUAUUUAAAAGCUAGGUAAGAAUUGAAUUAACUGUCUUACAAAAUAUACAACUUAAAUGCAUUAACAAUUUAGUUUAUAGUUUAAUUAAUAUGAUUUACAGUUGCACUUGGCUUGUACGACAUGUUGAACGACGUGUCGGACAUCCCAAACGCACGUUAAAACUUUGUAUUUAUUUUUCGUUUAUUCAAUUAACCGUCAUACUUUCUAUAUUAGUUUAAGAUUUUUUGUGUAUGUGAGCAUAGCUCCUCCAGCCUUGGACCGAUAUAAAACGAGCCUACGGCACGCCUAGAGGUCAAUCAUCGCUGCAUAUGGACACCCAUCUUAGUGGAUUUAAUUUUUUCCGACGUUUCGCGUGCGUGAGAUGUGGCCUAAUGGAUCAACAAAAUACGAAUUGUUGAAGAAUUACCGAUUUUAUAAAUCUGCUUUAUUACUUAGUAAAAUAUUGCCGAACGUGGGUGGCUUGAUGAAAAUAAUGGUGUCCCCGAGGGAGUUAGGAACAGGGGGCAAACGCAAGAGGCUCAUCUAAUGUAAAGUGAAAUCGUCUCACACUCUCAAUCCCAGAGAUCUCGCGGGUGCGUUGCCGGCCUUUUAAUAAUGGGUACCCUCUUUUCUUGAAGAACCCUAAGUUGAAUUGGGUCAGAAAUACAUUGGACUACUGGUGUCUUAAGAAACGCUCAGUUGUGGAACGAUGGACGUCGAGGUCUGGGUUGAAUUUCUUAUUCUGCCUGGACGACGACGAAACUCAGCUGCAGGUAUAAUUCGGAACAUCUCCUCUGAACACUCUCCUGGUAAAUGCGGUAGAAGAUGCAAAAUCUCUCGGUUUAUACCAACCCUCGUUGUACCUAACUUGUACCUUAAAGGUAAUAUUAAGAAACGAAACUUAGCCCGAAGUAUAAUACUCGUCAAGUCAAAAUCCAGUACAUUUAUGACAUACGCUAAGUGCUUAGUUUCGUUUCACAAUCUUAACCUAAUACUUGAGUAUACACACACAAUGUACAAAGCAAAUUAAAUUCAUGUAAACGAAUCAAAAUGAACAAAAAGAAAUAUCGAUUAAAGCGUAGAUAAAUUCACAUUAAAUCUUUGUAAAGAGAUUUACAUCAAAGGUUAAACGCAAGUUAAAAAAUGAGCCGGCUUUAUGAAUAGCACAUAAUUCAUACUCUCAAAAUAUUCGUACGUUUAUGAAUUAGAAGGAAAAUACCUCGACAAAACCGCCUAAGCGGGCUUACAAUUUGUAAAGACGAAAACGUCUGGCAAUAUUAAUAAUAUGGGUCCUGUAUUUGAUAUUUUUUUGGACGAAAAUGUAAUUAAUGACAGUGUACUGUUUACUGUGAAGGUAAAUUUCUGUCUGUGUUGCUUGAUCAAUAAAUAGGUAUAAUAAGUUAGUGGCUCUACAGUAGUAGUUUAGUUUUUUCUUAUUAACUAUAUGAAAUAUGUAUUUUUGUACUUUUUGUCAACCUCAUCUAAG